rnacentral:lncRNA from 1 species
CUCGGGCCAUGAACGUCUGUGUCUGCACCACGGCUGCCCGAGGCAGCACAGGACGUGUGGAGCCGUUGUCGAUCUCGGCAAAGACAGGGAUGACCUCUCCUGCAGCAAGGAGCAGUGGGGCCUCAGUUUCCCCUCCUGCAACCCCAACACCAGCCCCCGUCCCAACCCAGUCCGGUCCGCCUGCUACCUGGGGUGUAGCCCUUGCGGUCGAUCUUGGCCGAAAGGGAGACUAGGCCACGGUUACAGUACCAGGAUCGGGCAACCUUUUCCCGAGCCCCCGCUUGAGGUGCCUGUCGGUGUAGAGGAAAGUGACAUGGAUGAGUCACUUUGUGCAAACCACAGUCGCUGUGGAGCUUCCAAACCACCCCCAGCUGAGGGAGGACUUUGGGCAGGGCUUGGUUUCUUUUUAACAAUCCAGGAACUAUCCGUUAAAUAGAGCCAG